rnacentral:rRNA from 1 species
GAUGAACGCUAGCGGCAGGCCUAACACAUGCAAGUCGAGGGGUAGAAGGAGCUUGCUCCUUUGAGACCGGCGCACGGGUGCGUAACGCGUAUGCAAUCUACCUUGUACAGGGGAAUAGCCCAGAGAAAUUUGGAUUAAUGCCCCAUAGUAUAUAACCUUCGCAUGUUGGUUAUAUUAAAGUUCCAACGGUACAAGAUGAGCAUGCGUCCCAUUAGUUAGUUGGUAAGGUAACGGCUUACCAAGACGAUGAUGGGUAGGGGUCCUGAGAGGGAGAUCCCCCACACUGGUACUGAGACACGGACCAGACUCCUACGGGAGGCAGCAGUGAGGAAUAUUGGUCAAUGGUCGCAAGACUGAACCAGCCAUGCCGCGUGCAGGAAGACGGUCCUAUGGAUUGUAAACUGCUUUUAUACAGGAAGAAACCCUCCCACGUGUGGGAGCUUGACGGUACUGUAGGAAUAAGGAUCGGCUAGCUCCGUG